GAGGAGAGCACAGUGGGAAUUUCUAGAGGAAGAGAAAGGAAUCUAAUGUGAUAUGGGAGUGAAAAAUGGGAUCCAGAAAAGCAGAGAGGAAAUGGGGAAGUGGACCAGGUCUCAGAACCAGCAAAGGCUACUAUGUAUAUUUCACUUAGUUUAGGAGACUAACUUCAUAUGGGAGCGUAUGCUGGAAUUCUGAGAGCCAGAAAAGGAACGUGCCAGGUGCCAGAAUCAGUUAAUAGGCAUUAUGUGUCUUCUGCAUUUCAAUCUACAUGCUGCUUCUUUUCUUUCAGGUAUUCAUACAAACCAACAUUUCCUGACUGAAUGCAAAUAGGACACUUCUUUGAAAUGAGGAGCGACAAAUUUUUAACCUUUCUAGAAUUCAUGACAGAAUACUGUUUUUUUUUUUUUUUUAACGCUGUCUCCAUUGAAAGUCAGUUACUGAAUGGUAGGACACAAUUCUUAUGAAUUUUGUAGAAAGACAAAUAAUAUUCUCAUCUACAACUGUGUGAAGAAAAAUAGAAAAAUACUUGCCAUGUGUUAAAUCCUUACACUAUGGAGAAUACUAUGCAAACUGCUUUCAACUGCCUGCGUUCAUUUAAGAAUCACAACAACUAUGUCAGCUGAGUUUGCUGCUGUGUUGAUUGCGCUGACUUACUUUGAGGAACUGGUAAACAAAAACAUUAUGCUGACACUUGGUAUUACGGUUUAAUGUUCUUGUUUCAUGGAUCCUAAUCCUCAGGAAGUGUUCAAAUUCUAAAUGAGCCUACUCAGUGCAGAGUACACCAACUGGAAAGAGAAGAAACGGAACUAAACUGCCAUUGUCUUCUUCUUCUGAAUUAACUAAGUUAAAUUAAUAAAUUUUGUAAAAGUCUUUGCUGUAUUAGGAAUUGUGAUCUUGCAAUGCGCAUUGCUCUGCAGAUAAAUCUCCUGCCAGAAGACAGACUUCUGCAUAAACAGAAAAGCCUGGUCUCCACAGACUUGGUUGCGGUCUUGGUGCAUUUUCGUCAUCAGUGGCUCUCUUCACCUAAAAAUGUUUUAAUAGCCUCAGAGUAAAAUGGAACAGCCUUUUAUUUUCUUUUUGCUAAGCUAAUGUUACAUCAUUAUAACAGGGACAUUCCCUCUUAUCCAGAAAUAUUUAUAAGAAAAGAAAAACAGCCUUUCAUAUAAGAGUUUCUGAAAAACCUAGAACUUUCAUUCAACGUCUGCUUUAAUUUGUGGUUUUGUACUCUUAAGGGGAAAUUGGUGGACAAAACCCACAAGAGAACUGAGAACAGCUGUAUGAAGAGGCAAUGCAGGUUAAUGAAGAGUGAAGAGAAGAGAACAGUGCGGAUUUCUAGAAGAAGAGGAAGGAAAUUAUUGUGAUAUGGGAGUUAAAAAUGGGAUCCAGAAAAACAGGGAGGAAAGGGGGAAGUGUGCCAGGUCUCAGAACCAGCAAAGGUUGCUAUGUAUAUUUCACUUCAGUUUAGGAGACUAACUUUAUAUGGAAGUAUAUUCUGGAAUUCUGAGAGCCAGAAAGGGAAUGUGCCAGGUGCCAGAAUCAGCUAAUAAACAUCAUAUAUCUUCUGCACUUCAAUCUAGAUGGUGCUUCUUCUCUCUCAGGUAUUUAUACAAGCCACCAUUUCCUGACUGAAUACAAAUAGCAAACUUCUUUGAAAUAAGGAGGGAUAAUUUUUCAACCCCUCCAGAUUUUUUGACAGAAUUCUAGGUUUUUAGUUUGC
rnacentral:lncRNA from 1 species